GUUGUAUGGUUAAGUGACUAAGCGUACACGGUGGAUGCCUGGGCAGUCAGAGGCGAUGAAGGACGUACUAACUUGCGAUAAGCGCAGAUAAGGCAGUAAGAGCCGUUUGAGUCUGCGAUUUCCGAAUGGGGAAACCCAACUGCAUAAGCAGUUACUGUUAACUGAAUACAUAGGUUAACAGAGCAAACCGGGGGAACUGAAACAUCUAAGUACCCCGAGGAGAAGAAAUCAACCGAGAUUCCGGUAGUAGCGGCGAGCGAACCUGGAUUAGCCCUUAAGCACUCGGUGAAGUAGGUGAACAAGCUGGAAAGCUUGGCGAUACAGGGUGAUAGCCCCGUAACCGACGCUUCAUCGAGCGUGAAAUCGAGUAGGGCGGGACACGUGAUAUCCUGUCUGAAUAUGGGGGGACCAUCCUCCAAGGCUAAAUACUCCUGACUGACCGAUAGUGAACCAGUACCGUGAGGGAAAGGCGAAAAGAACCCCUGUGAGGGGAGUGAAAUAGAACCUGAAACCGUGUACGUACAAGCAGUAGGAGCACCUUCGUGGUGUGACUGCGUACCUUUUGUAUAAUGGGUCAGCGACUUAUAUUCAGUGGCAAGGUUAACCGUAUAGGGGAGCCGUAGCGAAAGCGAGUCUUAACUGGGCGCUCAGUCUCUGGAUAUAGACCCGAAACCGGGUGAUCUAGCCAUGGGCAGGUUGAAGGUUGAGUAACAUCAACUGGAGGACCGAACCGACUAAUGUUGAAAAAUUAGCGGAUGACUUGUGGCUAGGGGUGAAAGGCCAAUCAAACUCGGAGAUAGCUGGUUCUCCCCGAAAGCUAUUUAGGUAGCGCCUCGGACGAAUACUACUGGGGGUAGAGCACUGUUAAGGCUAGGGGGUCAUCCCGACUUACCAACCCUUUGCAAACUCCGAAUACCAGUAAGUACUAUCCGGGAGACACACGGCGGGUGCUAACGUCCGUCGUGGAGAGGGAAACAACCCAGACCGCCAGCUAAGGUCCCAAAGUAUUGCUAAGUGGGAAACGAUGUGGGAAGGCUCAGACAGCUAGGAUGUUGGCUUAGAAGCAGCCAUCAUUUAAAGAAAGCGUAAUAGCUCACUAGUCGAGUCGGCCUGCGCGGAAGAUGUAACGGGGCUAAGCAAUACACCGAAGCUGCGGCAAUGUCUUUUAGACAUUGGGUAGGGGAGCGUUCUGUAAGCCGUUGAAGGUGAAUCGUAAGGUUUGCUGGAGGUAUCAGAAGUGCGAAUGCUGACAUGAGUAACGACAAAGGGGGUGAAAAACCUCCUCGCCGGAAGACCAAGGGUUCCUGUCCAACGUUAAUCGGGGCAGGGUGAGUCGACCCCUAAGGUGAGGCCGAAAGGCGUAAUCGAUGGGAAACGGGUUAAUAUUCCCGUACUUCUGACUAUUGCGAUGGGGGGACGGAGAAGGCUAGGUGGGCCAGGCGACGGUUGUCCUGGUUCAAGUGCGUAGGCUUGAGAGUUAGGUAAAUCCGGCUCUCUCUAAG
rnacentral:rRNA from 1 species